GCCGCCUGAAUCAGUCAGAGAGAUGCAGAGAGAGACAGGAGAUCCGAGCCCUGACAGCCAGCAAUACUCAGAAAGCCUGUGGCUUUGACUAGCACUCCUCAAGCCUUUUGCAUCUUUAUCUGAGGAGCUCACAAGCACCAGCCAAUCAAGCCUCCCAACAGCCUUAGAGCACAGCGCCCUUUGCCAAGGAGAGUCAUCACCCCCAUUUUACAGACGGAGAAACUGAGGCACAGAGAAGGGAGGCAAUUACAGCUCACUUGAAUGAGGCGAGGGUGGUUCCUAAUUGCUGGGCCAGCAUGGAAGGAAGCACAGAGACA